rnacentral:misc_RNA from 1 species
AAGUCGUAACAAGGUUUCCGUAGGUGAACCUGCGGAAGGAUCAUUAAUGAAUACGGGCCUCGCGGCCCUGUUCUCAACCCUUUGUAUACCUGAACUAAGUUGCUUUGGCGGGCUCGCGCCCGCCAGAGGACCGAAACUCUUGAAUUAUUGCCGUCUGAGUCAUUAUAUAAUAAUCAAAA